rnacentral:rRNA from 1 species
CCUACGGGCGGCAGCAGUGGGGAAUAUUGCGCAAUGAGCGAAAGCCUGACGCAGCGACGCCGCGUGAGGGAUGAAGGUCUUCGGAUCGUAAACCUCUGUCAGCAGGGAAGAACGGUCACUGUGCUAAUCAGCAGUGAAUUGACGGUACCUGCAAAGGAAGCACCGGCUAACUCCGUGCCAGCAGCCGCGGUAAUACGGAGGGCGCGAGCGUUAAUCGGAAUUACUGGGCGUAAAGCGCUCGUAGGCGGUAUGUCAAGUCAAGGGUGAAAUCCCCGCGCUCAACGUGGGAACUGCCUUUGAAACUGGCAAACUGGAGUGUGUGAGAGGAUAGUGGAAUUCCAGGUGUAGGAGUGAAAUGCGUAGAUAUAUGGAGGAACAUCAGUGGCGAAGGCGACUAUCUGGCACAUAACUGACGCUGAGGAGCGAAAGCGUGGGUAGCAAACAGGAUUAGAUACCCCGGUAGUC